AGGCAUAAUUGUGAAGAAGCCUCACUUCCCCAGCCUACCUUCCAAGGAUCUUCCUAGCUACCCAAGUCAUCCAAAUCAUGCGCAACAAAUUCCUUCUAAAGACUAAUGAUUUUUUAAAAACAACUGGGAAUCCUAUUCAUCUUUUAAACUCUAACUCAAGCAGCACUCCUUUCACUGUACAUGUUUCACUCUUCAGUAGUAAUACUUGAGCUACCAACUAAUGGAUUGGCUUCCCAUUACUUUGAGUUUCUUGAAGCCAAGUUCAAUCCACUUUUAUUAAUUACAUUUUUCUCAAUGAUUAGCACCAUGCUUGGCACAUAGACAUAUUAAAUUUAAUCAAAAUUAAAUUGAUUUCCAUUUAAAUUAAAUUGAAACAGAUCACUUUUAUAUUCCUAAAGAGCAUUUGCAUUUUGAAAGAAACAUGCAAAGAAUGCAAGGUUAUAUUUCACACAUGCAUAUCUUGGCACUUAGAUGAAGGAAAUAUUUACAAAUGGAGUGGAAAGUAGAACUUCCCAACACUACUCAAAUCAUAUCAAACUGUAAAUGAACUAUUUCACCCACUCACCUAUCUCUCCAUCCUAAUCUUUAUAUCAAGACUCCAACCAAAGUAUUGCCUCAGCCUGAAUGCCCUGCUACAUCUUAUACAUCUGGCAAACUGCUUCUUACCCUCCAAAACCCAUACCAAAAGUCACCUCCUCCAAGAAACCCUCUCUGAUUUCCGCAGAUAUUCACUAUCUCCUCUGAGUUUCCACAGUGCUCUGUUUGUACUACUAGUAAUGGUACAUAGCUCCAAGUAAUUAAGUGCCUAUGGUGAAUGGGCAUUCUAUUAGACAUUUCAUAAAAUUUACCUGAUUUUAUUCUUGUAACAACCAUGCAAAAUAGGCAUUCAUUUCAUUUUUGAAAAAAAAAAUGGAGGCUCAAAGGAAUUAAGUAACCUAUCAAAGAUCACACAGGUAGUAUCCACAAAGCAAGAAUUCACACUAGACUCUCUUACUCCAAAGGAUGUAUUUUCCCUGUAUGCCAUAUCUUCUGAAUAAAUAGAUAAAUGAUUGACUGAAUGUGACCUUGGCAAAGGAUAGCACAUUUUUUUGAGCGCACAAGUGACUAAGAUAAAUAAAUUUCAUAUUUCACCUUCUUCUUUCACAUUUACCAUUUAAUAUGCUGGAGUGCACUACGAUGCCUAUAUUAACAUAACUGAGGCAUGUGGCAAAGAACACACAGUUUGAAUGUAAUCCUCUUGGAAUCAUGGACAAAGACCACCUAUAAUUGCAACUGCGCAUUUUAGAACACAGUCUCCCAAUUCAAAAUCCCAGUGUCAAACCAGCUUAAUUAUAUAUAAUUUCCAUUUAAGCCCAUACUGAACACAUUUUCUUUGGUUAUCAGCCCCAGUGGUCCUAAGAGGGAGCUAUAAUAUGCAUAAAAUAGCUGCUGAGCCAGGUUAAAUGAAUUUCAUUUAAGAGACUAAUACUAUUAACAUUAUAUGAUGAUUUGCAAUUAUCAGUCAAAUAAGAUCAGGUACCAGAAGACCGGGGAGGUCUUACAAGAGAUGAACCACAAAAUCAGCACUCUCUCUGUUCAAUGUGUUUUUCUCCUACCUGGGCAACUGCCAGCAAGGGAGAGAUAGAAGGGCUCUCCAGGGAGCAGUGAGAAGGAGGAGUCCACCAGUUGUUCUUGUCCUUAAUGAAAAAGGCUUAUGUGAAAAACAAGCUCACCCGCACUCCCUCAUCUCUCCUCCCGUGACAUGCACUUAACCUCUCAGCAAACAUACUGGGUUAACACACGGAUGUGGAAAGGCAGCUGUGGCUCAGGGAUCUAAUGUGGAUUCCAGUCCUGGGUCUCCCACUAACUACUUCUGUGACCGUGGUCUCAUUUUUGCUCCUAGAGCUCCUACGUCCUGACCCACAAAGUAAAAAGUCAUGCUAGUACAACAGAAGAUCCUUCCACAUCUAACAUGCAAUACUUUACCACGAACUAGAGAUACCUACUCAGUGAAGUUCAAUUUUCCCCACUCUCUUUUUCUAAACUGAUAUCACUACAGGCCACCUGCCCCAGCACUGAUCCUUCUUGUACUAGUCAAAGCUGCUGGUACAGGCUGGCAUCAGAUACUAGGGAGCAGAAUUAUUUAUACAGUUUUGAUUUAAUGUCUCCCGUCUUCUCUCCAUCUGUGGCACAAAGAAGCUAGUCCCUUAACUGAGAUUUACUUCUAGGCUCUAAAAGCUCUUUGGGAUGUGGCCUUCUAAUACCUCUCGGACCUCAUCUCCUAUUCCCCCUCAGGGACACCUCUAUCUCCUUCAAGGAAAGUUGCCAGGGGAUCAAAUUAACUGAUACCUCCAGUUAUCUGUACCCACUCUGUGGUCUCUGAGGCUGUGCUUCCCCCGGGCUGCUCCCUGCCUAUAACUGAGCACAGUAUUACUAAAGGCCAGUUCCUAAGGUGCUUGGGAAUCCUAUGAUAGGCAACUAUUAUAUAUUAUAUUAUAGUUCCGGGACUGCCCAGUGACGCUGAGAUUUUCUUAGAAAUGUGUUGUACUCUCUGAUUCUUCCUCCCCAUGCAUUCCACCUUCCCCCUUUCUUUUCACAGCUUUCAGACCUGCAUCAUAGCCUGAAGGUUCUGUCCACUCUGUUCCCUCCCCUUUAUUCUUCACAGGUCCCUCCCCUCAAAAUGCUCUUACACCAUUGAACCAUGUCUUGGUAUGUAUUUACUUCUUGGAGCACCUGAACUAAAACAAUAAAACCAAUAACGUGAUCAUUUUUCUAUUUUUAAUUGUCCACCUCCCUCACCUCAUGAAUGCAGACAUAGUCUAUUUUAUUUACUGUUAUAUCUCCAGCAUGUAAAAUGAUGCUUGCAAAGCAUCAUUAAAAAAAUAUCUUUUCAUGAGAAAUAUUAUUGCUAUCUGUUAAUUUCAUUAAUUCAUGAAAGAAAAUAUUGAGUGUCUACUUUCUCUUAGGCACCGUGUUAAGUACUCAGUAAAUCAAGGAUCUAGUGCAAAUGAUAAACAUCUGAACAAGAAAUUUAAAUAAACCAUGCCAAAGCUUUAUUAAAAGUAUUCACAAUGUAUGGAGCACAAAUAACUCUGCAUAAACAUGUAAAAAUUUAAAUUGUAUACAUGUUUAUGGUAAAGCACUAUGACUAUCCCAUGAAUUUUAUAAAGGGUAAGUCAACUUCAAUAAGCAAGAUCCCUUGCUUUUGCCCUCAAGACCUCUUUAAAAGCCAAUGUUCCUUGUAAAGAUUUUCUUCAGAUGUACAGAGUGAAGGCCAUUCCUUACAUGACACUACACUGCUCAAUAUUACGCUGAUGAACUAGGUCAAAGCAAAAUUAAAUAUUUUUUUAAAGGCUAUGGUUCUAAGUCCUAGGAAACCAAUGUGUGAAUCAGUAACAUUAAAGUUUUCUAGCUCAAACCUCUAAAAAUAGUCCACCUCAAAUUCUGUCCACUCAGUGAAGAAUUUUAUGAUAUCCUGAAGACUAGGACAGUCCUUCAUUUUAUAUGCUGUCCAAGCACCCUCUACUCUUCCCUCUUAGAAUUUACCAAAAGUGUAAUUCAUUAGUCAUCUGUGAGGUGUCUCAUUAGUUAGUAGAUAAUAAGUUCCAUGAGAGAACCACAUCCAUGAUAUUGACUGCUGUAUUUCUAGCACCUGGCAGAGAGUAUGGGCUCAAUUAGUUUUUCUUGAAUGGCUUAUAUGGAAGAAAGAUGAAUAAAUUAAAAAUGAAUGGGUCAAUGAAUGAAUGAUAAAAAAUUUCCCUCAUAUGCCAACUGUAAAAUUAUCAACCUUAUCUAAAUUCCCACUGCAUUUUAAAUAUACUUCUUACCCUCCUCCUGUUCAUCUAUCCAUUCAUGAUGUCAGUAAAAGCUUUUCAAAAUAAUGAACGGUGGUACAUUUUCACUAUUCUUGUCUCAGAUUGGCAUGAAGAUCUUUGGAUUCAGUUGCUCUUGAGAACAAUGACUCAACAUUCCCAGAUGUUAAUUAUCUGAGCUUGGAUUUGGAUGUGACAAAGAUGACCCCCUAAUUCCAUCCUGGCAGAAUGGUCACCUCGCCUGCUUCUAAUGGCUUUGGCUAGCCUUCUUUACUUCCUAGCCCUGGGGGAGCCCAGACCACAGCAGCCAUUGCUUGAGAAGCCUGCCUUCUUUUCAAGGGACAGAUCAAUUUAACUCCUUUUGCUGAAAGUUGUCUUAACCUCUUCUUCCCCCUUUUCCCCUUUAAUUUUAUCCUACCAGUCACUUCUGUCUCUAGAGAAUCCUUUAAAAUCCCUCCAUCCAUUCCAUCAUCCAACUUCUAUCCUCUUUAUGCUACAUUCUUCUAUAAUAUGUAAUACACAUUCUAUCUUGAAUUAUAGUUAUUAAUGACCAUGUUUAGCUCUCUUGCUAAAUUCUAGGUAUUCCAAAAUGUGUAGUUUUUUUUUUUUUUCUAUUAUCCCUCACAAGACCUAAAAGAGUACCUGGAACAAAGUAGGGAAUCAGGUGUUUUUAUUUAUUAGUGGAUACAUCUUGUUCAUGUUCCAAAUAAUUCCCCACUUAUUUCAUAUAACCAAAUCCACUAUAAGAGGAUGAAGUUGGCCUGAUUCUGUCUGCUUCCCAAGGCUUUCCUCUAAUCUGGAGCUGGGCUCCACCACUGCAGUAGCAGUGCUCAUUGCCAGCUGAUGCCCUCACCUGACUCAGAAGGGAAACAGGAAUAUCUGGAGAAGUGGCUGCAUAAUGGACCAAAGAGGUACAACUUCAAGCAGUUGAAAGGAAAGACAAGGCUCUGAGGAUCCCAAAAAUACAGUUUCCAAAAGUGAUAUUAGUUGCUGGAGAGUGUCCUGACACAUAAGUUGGCUGGACCUGAGACCAUAGGAGGGGGUUUAGAAGCACAGGAGGAGAGCAUGGUUUUAAGCAGAAGAUUUGGAACUCUUCAAAUAGGAAGUUGCCAUUGUGGCUCAGUGGUAAUGAACCCAACUAGUACCAAUGAGGAUGCAGGUUCAAUCCCUGGCUUCGCUCAGUGGGUUAAGGAUAAGGCGUUGCCCUGAGCUGUGGUGUAGGCCUGAGCUGUGGUGUAGGUCGCAGAUGCAUCUCAGAUCCCUCAUUGUUAUGGUUGUGGCAAAGGUUAGCAGCUGCAGCUCCAAUUCGACCCCUAGCCUGGAAACCCUUCAAAUAAUAAGCUUCUCUUAAACAAGGAGAAAAAGAAAACAGAAAAUAAUCCUAAUAAAGGUCUACCAUAUCAAUCCCUGUUAGUUAGCAAUCACCAUCAAUGCUAUCACCAACUCCUAUAAAGCAGAAAAAUGAAGAGAAAGAGGAUGGGGAAGAGGAAUGUGGACAUAGGGAUACAGACGGGAAUGAGGAAACAUUAGCAAAACAGAAGGAGAGUUGAUGUCAGUUUAUAAAGUUCUGAGUGUGCAUUUACAUUUUUGUAAGGACACAUUCUCUCCCUCUCUCUCUCUCUCUCUCUCUCACACACACACACACACACACACACACACACACACGCAAUUCACAAGAAGCCAUGAAGGCAAAAGCAUGCUGAAAAGAGAGUGGAUUUUGAGUCUGAAGUUUUGCCUGGGUCUGAGUCCCAUUUCUAUGUCUCAUCACAACUAUUUGCUGAUCACUGAGAACAGACUGUACUGACUUACAGGAAAAUAGCCACUACUGUCAGGAAAAGUGUAGAGGACAAACAAAAAUCUGUGGUUGAGUAAAUCAAUCUAACCUGAAAAUUUGCAGCAAUCAGGCCUUUUAGGAGUUACAAAAAAAAAACAAAAAACAAAAA
rnacentral:lncRNA from 1 species